ensembl:lncRNA
UUAAAUUUGAAAAUAUGUCCGUUACUCUCGGUCGGAGCAGCUGCUUUGCGUUGAUUACUCGGUCAGACCUGGAUUAUUUUAUAUCUGCCUGUUGAAUUCUUACAUUUUGAGCGAAUUUUAGUUGAUAUGACAAUGAAGAUCAAAAGCUGGAAUGUGAACAGAGGAUGGGGUCGUACGUGGUCUGUAAAUACUGGCGAUAUCAGAUCAAGCUUUGUAAUAAGAUUUUUAUCGGGGGAGAACACCCAACAGAAAGACCCAUGAUUCACCAACUGGCGCACUGAAAGGGGAGAUUCAUGUCACUUUCAUCAGUCCUUUCUUUAAUCACUGGACACCAUUAAGGGAAAGACCCUCAGACGUGUCAUAAUAGGAUAAAUGCGGCUGCAGGACAAGGCCUGGUGAGAGCCACUACAGAGGAUCAUAGCCAUUGUUGGAAUUCUGAAAGGACGUGGGUGAAUAUCAAUCUGCCAAAUGAACAUUCACAUCUGUAUAUUAAUACUGAUUAUAUAUGAACUUGUUUGUUUGUAACUGGAAAGAACUUAGCUUCUAUUGUUUUUGACUGAAGGACUUGACCGUGUUUUAAGCCUAUGUGCAUUUUCUAUUACCAGUACCUGCUCUGGCCGUGCUCCAUUUUCCAUUGCAGAUCAUACCCAGAGAUAGUACCCCUCAAUGCUGCUGGUCAGCAUAGCAAGGCCACACACAACUGCCGCGACGUACUGUUCAAUGCGACACACACACCUGCGACCCACAUACAGCUGUCUCUUGAUUUAAGUUAAAACGUUUCAGCAUUACUCAGAAUGUAAAGACAGAUACUUAAAGGUGCUCUAAGCAAUGCCAGGAGUCGUAACUUCUUGUUGACGUUCGAAUUGUUGUCAAACAAAACAGAGGCUAGCUAGACCCUCCCUCCUCCUCAUCCGUGCACUAAGCCCCCCAAACCCCACCCCCAAAUCUUUCUUGUCGGUUAUUGGCUGUAACAGUUUGUUAUGUUUCGUGGUGCGGGUGUGCCCAGUUUGUUUUUCUUGUUGUUUGUGGAGCCUGUGGUGUCUAGAGAGACCGUGUUUUUUUACAGUGUGUUCAGGGGACAGGCAGCUAGCGGAUAGUGAGGAGAUGUUUG